rnacentral:lncRNA from 10 species
CUCAUUUUGGGUGAGGAACCUAAAGUUUCAGUCCCUAACACCAUACCAGGUGUGUCUGGCCUAAAUCCUGUGAUCCAGCCUUAAAAGGUCGGGCUCUGAGGGCCAGCCUAGCAGAGAUGAGCACAAUGGUGAAUUCUAAUGACUGUGGGCUCCACUCCCAUCAGAGAGUUGGAAGCACGUGGCAUGUCCCUGCAACCCAGCUCUGUGGACGUGGCAUGUCCCUGCAACCCAGCUCUGUGGACGUGGUAUGUCCCUGCGAUCCAGCUGACCCUGCUGCUCACUGAGCGAGGUCAGAGCAGCCCAAGCAUGUAGCCUUGGCAGAUUUAAGCCCCUACCCUUUCUUUCCUCUCGUGGCUUAACCGAAGAGAAUGAGGAAACAAGGAAUGAAUUUAGGAGGAGGUGUGGCAGACUCCCGUAAGUGGCCAGAGGUUCCCCGUGUUCCCGCGAUGUCCUGCAGGCUGACCCCCAUUCCCUAGCUGCCACGCAGACUGUUCCAGCCGGAGGGAGGAUGAGACCCAGCAAGGUGAUGAACCUGCAGGAAGAAGACACAACAGCUGUGCCUUCCCUCAUCUCAGGACACCGAAACAAGACGCCGAGAAAACGGGCCUGUGAAAAGCAAACCGCUGCAUACUUACGUAGAAAAACCUUUAACAAUUUUAAGGAUGGAGAAUGAUGCUGUAAGAAUAAAACUAAUGAAAAAAGAGAAAAAAUAUAAAGGAAAAUAUUAAUGGAUUUCACUUAACUUGUCAUAAUUAUUUUUAAAAUCUUAAAGCAACCAAAAUACUGAGGAAGAUGUCUGCAGCUGAUAUGACUCAGAAUUAAUAUUCUUUAUAUACAUAAUAAACUUUAAAAAUUAGUAAGAACCUGGCUGGG